UACGAAGGGGGGCUAGCGUUGCUCGGAAUUACUGGGCGUAAAGCGCGCGUAGGCGGCUUUUGUAAGUUAGAGGUGAAAGCCCGGAGCUUAACUCCGGAACUGCCUUUAAGACUGCAUCGCUAGAAUCGUGGAGAGGUGAGUGGAAUUCCGAGUGUAGAGGUGAAAUUCGUAGAUAUUCGGAAGAACACCAGUGGCGAAGGCGACUCACUGGACACGUAUUGACGCUGAGGUGCGAAAGCGUGGGGAGCAAACAGG
rnacentral:rRNA from 1 species